GCGUGAGUAACCUGCCCUGGAUGGGGGGACGAACAGUUGGAAACGACUGCUAAUACCGCAUAAGCCCACGGAUCCGCAUGGAUCUGCGGGAAAAGGAUUUAUUCGCUUCAGGAUGGACUCGCGUCCAAUUAGCUAGUUGGUGAGGUAACGGCCCACCAAGGCGACGAUUGGUAGCCGGACUGAGAGGUUGAACGGCCACAUUGGGACUGAGACACGGCCCAGACUCCUACGGGAGGCAGCAUG
rnacentral:rRNA from 1 species